rnacentral:rRNA from 1 species
UACGUAGGAGGCAAGCGUUGUCCGGAAUUACUGGGUGUAAAGCGCGUGUAGGCGGCAGGCCAAGUCUGUGGUGAAAUCGCUCGGCUCAACUGGGCGGGGUCCAUGGAAACUGGUCAGCUGGAGGACGGUAGAGGUGAGUGGAAUUCUCGGUGUAGUGGUGAAAUGCGUAGAGAUCGGGAGGAACACCCGUGGCGAAGGCGGCUCACUGGGCCGGUCCUGACGCUGAGACGCGAAGGCGUGGGGAGCGAACGGG